UACAGAGGGUGCGAGCGUUGUUCGGAAUUAUUGGGCGUAAAGGGUGCGUAGGCGGUUUGGUAAGUCUUAUGUGAAAUCUAUGGGCUCAACUCAUAGUCUGCAUGAGAAACUGCCGGGCUGAGUGUGGGAGAGGUGAGUGGAAUUUCCGGUGUAGCGGUGAAAUGCGUAGAGAUCGGGAGGAACACCAGAGGCGAAGGCGGCGACCUGGACAGGCACUGACACUCAACUACGAAAGCGUGGGGAGCAACAG
rnacentral:rRNA from 1 species